AUUGAACGCUGGCGGCAGGCCUAACACAUGCAAGUCGAACGGUAACAGGAAACAGCUUGCUGUUUCGCUGACGAGUGGCGGACGGGUGAGUAAUGUCUGGGAAACUGCCUGAUGGAGGGGGAUAACUACUGGAAACGGUAGCUAAUACCGCAUAACGUCGCAAGACCAAAGAGGGGGACCUUCGGGCCUCUUGCCAUCGGAUGUGCCCAGAUGGGAUUAGCUAGUAGGUGGGGUAACGGCUCACCUAGGCGACGAUCCCUGGCUGGUCUGAGAGGAUGACCAGCCACACUGGAACUGAGACACGGUCCAGACUCCUACGGGAGGCAGCAGUGGGGAAUAUUGCACAAUGGGCGCAAGCCUGAUGCAGCCAUGCCGCGUGUAUGAAGAAGGCCUUCGGGUUGUAAAGUACUUUCAGCGGGGAGGAAGGGAGUAAAGUUAAUACCUUGACUCAUUGACGUUACCCGCAGAAGAAGCACCGGCUAACUCCGUG
rnacentral:rRNA from 1 species